GCCGUCGUUACCGUAGUCUGGCCAACGGACCUCGUUGGAGACGAGGAGGGCUUUCGGGUCUUCGCCGGUUCGAAUCCGGCCGACGGCG
rnacentral:tRNA from 1 species